GAUAAGUGAUAACAAUUAAAGAAAAUGUUUUAUAUUUUGAAGUUUGAAUGUUGAAUGUGUAAGACCGUCUUAUAAUAAAGCAAUUUUUUUUUAAUUAAACUAGCAACACUAAACCAUUUAGAUCAAAAAGUCCCCACUUUAGUACUGGAUAUAGAUAAUAUUAUAGGUAUACCAACGAGGUAUAAAAAGAAAUUGCAAAGAUGCGUAAAGUUGAAGACUUUAAUACAUUAGCUGACUGCAGAACUAUCUUCAUUUGCGCAGUAGCGCGGCUGCACUAAACAGCGUUCCAUUGCGUUGCAUAGCUUGUUUUUUUUGUGAAUUUGUCAUUCGAAAAUGGGGUUCUUCACAGCUGUAGCAGUAAAUGUAAUUGGGGGUGCCGUAAUUUACGGUACAGGAGGCCUGGGAGCGGCUUGGGUAGCCCCAUGGUUGGGUUUCGGUAGUGCGGGUAUUGCUAGCGGCAGCAUGGCGGCAGCAGCACAGUCUUACUAUGGCAACCUCGCUGCUGGCAGCAUUAUUUCUAAGAUGACAGCUGUUGCUAUGGCUUCACCUACACCUUAAGUAGGUACUGCCUGCCAUCCUACCUACAUUGAUGAAACUGAAACUAUUUUUUAUUUUAAAUAAAAAUGAAAGUUUCUUUAGAAGUUUGUUAUUUUAUUUUAAAAUAUUUAACCUAGUUUACUUUUACCGAAUCCCUCGUCCCCAUUCGAAUAUCACGUUACGUUAUGGACGUAAUAGUAUAUUACGCCCAUGAGCGCAGUUGAAAAGAUACAGAUUCAAAACAAUCAUAUACACAUGUAAGAAAGAAAACGCGUUAUAUCAAAAAUACAUAGUAAAUAUGAUCACUCGAUCACCACUUCUUUGUAUAAGACUAAUACCACCAUAGAUUAUACACUUAUAUACUGGUAAAUACCACUAUACUCAUACUUUAUUAAAAGUUGGGGUUGUCUGGAAGAAAUGGCUAAUUAGCCAUAAGUCCGCCCAUUG
rnacentral:misc_RNA from 1 species